rnacentral:tRNA from 2 species
AUUUACAUAAUAUAAAUAUUAUAUUUGACUUCCAAUCAAAAAAUCUAAAAUUUUUAGUGUAAAUA